rnacentral:sRNA from 1 species
CCGUCCGGCCCAACGAACUAGGGGCGCGUUCAAGGUCUCGCUUCGUCCCACCUGCUUCCGUCCCUGUCCCGGAGCAUCGCCGGAGUGCCGCCGGAGUGUCGAUUGUUCGGUGGACGAAAAAGAGGGGUUUAGGUUUUGGUUUCUUUCCCAUUUUCAUGUAUUGAACUCAGUCUCUUUGAAAUUUUCUAGUUGAAUC